AUUGAACGCUGGCGGCAGGCCUAACACAUGCAAGUCGAACGAGUGGCGGACGGGUGAGUAAUGUCUGGGAAACUGCCCGAUGGAGGGGGAUAACUACUGGAAACGGUAGCUAAUACCGCGUACCAUCGGAUGUGCCCAGAUGGGCGUAGCUGGUAGGUGAGGUAACGGCUCACCUAGGCGACGCGCCCUAGCUGGUCUGAGAGGAUGACCAGUCAGACUGGAACUUAGACACGGUGCAGACUCAGACGGGAUGCAGCAGUGGGGAAUAUUGCACAAUGGGCGCAAGCCUGAGGCAGCCAGGCCGGGGGUAUGAAGAAGGCCGUCGGGUUGUAAAGUACUUUCAGCGGGGAGGCGUUACUCGCAGCAGAAGCACCGGCUAACUCCGUGCCAGCAGCCGCUGUAAUAC
rnacentral:rRNA from 1 species